rnacentral:rRNA from 1 species
GACGAACGCUGGCGGCGUGCUUAACACAUGCAAGUCGAACGGUAAGGCCCUUCGGGGUACACGAGUGGCGAACGGGUGAGUAACACGUGGGUGAUCUGCCCUGCACUUCGGGAUAAGCCUGGGAAACUGGGUCUAAUACCGGAUAGGACCACUGCCUGCAUGGGUGGUGGUGGAAAGCUUUUGCGGUGUGGGAUGGGCCCGCGGCCUGUCAGCUUGUUGGUGGGGUGAUGGCCUACCAAGGCGACGACGGGUAGCCGGCGUGAGAGGGUGACCGGCCACAAUGGGACUGAGAUACGGCCCAGACUCCUACGGGAGGCAGCAGUGGGGAAUAUUGCACAAUGGGCGCAAGCCUGAUGCAGCGACGCCGCGUGAGGGAUGACGGCCUUCGGGUUGUAAACCUCUUUCAGCACCGACGAAGCGCAAGUGACGGUAGGUGCAGAAGAAGGACCGGCCAACUACGUGCCAGCCGCCGCCGCGG